rnacentral:rRNA from 1 species
CCUACGGGUGGCAGCAGUGAGGAAUAUUGGUCAAUGGACGAGAGUCUGAACCAGCCAAGUAGCGUGAAGGAUGACUGCCCUCUGGGUUGUAAACUUCUUUUAUAUGGGAAUAAAAUGUUCCACGUGUGGGCUUUUGUAUGUACCAUAUGAAUAAGGCUCGGCUAACUCCGUGCCAGCAGCCGCGGUAAUACGGAGGAUCCGCGCGUUAUCCGGAUUUAUUGGGUUUAAAGGGAGCGUAGGUGGAUUGUUAAGUCAGUUGUGAAAGUUUGCGGAUUAACCGUAAAAUUGCAGUUGAAACUGGCAGUCUUGAGUACAGUAGAGGUGGGCGGAAUUCGUGGUGUAGCGGUGAAAUGCUUAGAUAUCACGAAGAACUCCGAUUGCGAAGGCAGCUCACUGGACUGCAACUGACACUGAGGCUCGAAAGUGUGGGUAUCAAACAGGAUUAGAUACCCUAGUAGUC